UGAAGGCUACGGUCCCAGCAGUGCAGGGCCCGGGGCAGAGAAGUUCCUUUCACUUGUAUGUCUAUCCAGUACCUGUAAUAUGACACAAGAGGGAGCUGUCAGUUCACAUGUGUUAGGCUUUCCAAGGUUGGCCUGUCAGCUGAAUGUUGUCAACUGUCAGCUGGGCUUCGUCAAACAACCACUGCACCACAAAGACUGGGCCUACAGAGAAAGCAGUUACAUUGCCUUAAAUUACUUAAAUAUGUAACACAGACAAUAUGGGCUCCAUGUGUCAACAAGCAAGCUGACAUUCUUAUGCAUGUGUGUUUUACAUUGAGAUCAAACAUACUUUUUAUUGAUGAGAAGACUCUGUAACCGAAGAAACAGUUCCACUCCUCUCCUUCAUAACUCUUUCUGCAUCUCUCUGGGACUACUCCUCCCCAGUACCUGAAGGAACCAACAGAGUCAAUGAAAAAAUAACAUUUAUCAUUAUUUCCUGUAUUGUAUUUUUCAUGAACCUACUUGAUGCCUCGCUUGAUGGUCUCAGUGGGGGAACAGCUGACCGUGUCCACGCAGUCGGUGAAGUGGUACUGCUUGUUGUCCAAGAACCAUCCCGAAUCAGCGAGACCACGCACUUGAAUAGAAGUAUGCCCUAAUCCUUCCAAAAGCUCUGCAACGCGAUCUACGUUCAGCAGGACUCCUGUACCUCCAGCACUGUAUUUGGAAACCGUAAACAGCCUUGAUCCUUACUUAAGUCAAGAGGUGCCACCGAAGCCCGUGGAUGUAAAAGGUCGGCGCUUGAGAAAGAGCAAGGAGCGGCAUGAAGACAUCUGUCCAGCAGGCUCUCAUUUCAAUGGCCUCCUGUCCUCACCUGUUGGUCAGAUGCUGCCCACAUCACACAGUCCAGUCUGGGUGCAGGAGGUGUCUGCGGGCUCCUGACCAUCCUCUGACUGGAAACUGAUGACGAGGACUUUCAAAGGAUCGCUGCUUGCGUUUAUUUAUAUUCAGAGAGGAUGUCCAGAUUGACUGCAUAUCA